rnacentral:ribozyme from 14 species
GGAAAGAGGAAGAAGAAAAAAAAAACUGAAGACGACUGGGUCUUAUUGAUUGGUGAUAGUGUAUCGGUGAGGGAGAUGAGGAAGCUUUUGUUGUUUUGUUGUUGUUUGUUUUGUUUGUUGUUUUGUCAUGUCGUUCUUCUUGGU